UGGUGUAAAGCAAUCUGAGCUGUGUAAUUCAGGCCCUCUCUGACUCUGAGAAGUAUAAAGAACGUUACAAUCAGGCUAAACAGGAGAUACAGUACAUACAAUCAUCAUUAGCAAAGGCAGAGGUGGAUCUAGAGAAGGCUCAAAUUGAUCUACAAAAGUCUCAAGUGCAGAUAGAUCGAGCUAAUUCAUGUAAAAAGGUACAUGAGAGUGAACUUCAGCGACUAGAACAGGAGCUAGAAGCUUGGAGGGAUAAAUAUAAUCAGUCUGAACAGGAUGUGAUGAAUGCCGAGGAUACCCUGCAGAAGCUUGAGGGAGAGAACCACAGU